rnacentral:lncRNA from 1 species
CUUAGAGUAUUUGGUGUUUUGACACCGGUUGGGAAAGAGUGAAGUGAGCUUUAAGAGUUCAUAUUGUAAGAAAAAGAAAGGGAAAAGAAAAGAUUGAAGGAAAGGGUAGCUAGUCCUCUUCCUCCUAGUUCUCUCCCUCUCUCUCGGCCACCUGCUGCAUCCCUGCGAGCUAGCACUCCCCGGGAUGCCGGUUGAUCUAGAGGCCUCGCGUGGAUUACUUGUAGAGGUCGGACGCUUGUGCGGUUGCGGAGCAGCAAGCUAGAACCAACCUGCUGAAAGGUUAAUGUUCUGUUUUCAGUUUUUGGAGUUGAGAUUUGAUCUCAAUUCAAGAACACAUACGAUGUGAUCCAUGCAUGAAUAUUUCUAUCACAUAUCCUGCGGAUUCAUAUGGGAAUUUCGUAGGAUUGGAUCAGAUCCAAAGUUUGCAAUGGGCUGUUUUGAACAGCCCUGUUUUAUUUCACUGAAAAUUGUUUUCAAAUUGCAUACUUUCACCUUAAUCAGUGAAUCCUCGGUGCAUACGAUACUUGAAUUCCCUUCAGUCUCAUCAAUAUGGUCACCUAGGUUUAUCCAAAUAUCUCAAUCCUCUGUAGGUUCAUAAAGUAUCUAGAGAGAGAAAGAGUGAAGAAGGGAGAGAAAGAGAGUAGGGAGAGAGAGCAAGAGGAAGCAAAGAACGGAGCCCUGCUUUUGACCUUGAUGAAGGAACCUUAGAUUGGCCGACAACGGUGGCGGACGUCCACCUAGGCAUGGCUGCCAAAGAAGAUCAUGGCGCCCGCAUCAUUGACCAAGGUGGCCGGCGGCGGAGAAAAGUAUAAGGGCCAUCAAUAGAUCAGCCCAAAGAGGAGAAAACUCGAGUGUUUCAGCUCACUGGCCGAUGGUCGAAGCUCGACUACGGCAGCAAAGCUUGUU